rnacentral:lncRNA from 1 species
UUUUUUUUUUCUUUUCUUUUUUUUUUAAACUAGUAAGCUCUAGGAAUUUUAGCUUCAGUAAAUUGGAACUGAGCAGUUAGUGCAAAUACAGUUUACCAUUCUGUCCACGUGCUAGCCUUUAGUGUUUGGUCAAUAAAUUGGUAUUUUGAUAAUAGAAUGCAAACAGCCUUAAUUCAUACAUAGUCACUGUAAAUGGGCUUGUUUGUGGUUGUACCUUCAGGUUUGUAGCUGACAGUUGUAGGAGGCAGUUUAUAUCCUUCACAGGGAGGCUUGUUCUGCCAGUACCCUGGUUGUGUCCUUAUGGGUCAGGGUAGGUGGUCUACUGCAAACAGAGUAGCUUGUUGCAUUCUAUUUGCCCUGGUUUGGGGUGAAAUUGUACAGUUUCCAUCAUAUGGCUUAAUGAAGGCUUUGUACUUACCGUAUCACUCUACACACAGGCGGUUUGAAAAUAAAUUUAUUGUAGCUGUUGUGGACCUAGUUAUUGGAAGAAAGGGAGGAUGCUGGAAAGCAUCUGAAAGGUGGGAAAGAAAGUGAUAGUAACUCUUGUUCUUUGAGGCUAAAAUGUCUUCAUAGCUCAUUCUGAACACCUGGUUUCAAAUUGCUAGCAGUAUUUUGGGAACUUCUCGAAAAAAUUUUUAGAUAUUAACAUUUUACAAAUUUAUGCCAAUACAUCAUGCAUAUACAUGGAAUGCUGGAGAAUUCUGUACACACGACAAUGCAGACAUACACAAAUGCACAUUUUAAAGAGUGUUUUGAAAAUUUAUGUCCUCAGGGAUGGUUUUAUUGUUUACCCUGACAGUUGACAGGUGAUGCCACUUUUUUUUGGGGAGCGUUGUUUCCUGGGGAGAAUUCUUCAGUGUUGUGUGUGUAUCUGGAUGCAUCCGUACAUAUAUUGGCCACUGACCUUCUGCAUUAUGCAUAUUAGAGAAGUGCUCUGUCACUGAGGCUUAGCCCUAGCCUGGUAGAUUAUUACUAUAUGGUGUAAUAUUCUUAUGUAUAUUUUGUAGCAACAUGUUCCAGAGCCAAACAAAAUGAAUUAAUGGUUGCAAAGGCAUAGAUGUAUGCGCCCAAAUCUUUGGUUUUACUUGCUAUUAGUAAAUAUUUUAACAUUAUAUUAAAUAAUUGGAUCACUGUUUUUUUCAGUAUGGAUGACAGUUUAUUACUGGUAAAACAUCUUGCUGUUUCAGGUCCUUCAGAACAUGUGUUUGGGAUGAAAUACUUAACAACACCUGGAACCAGAUGUAUUUGACAUUUGAUUCUUUUGAACAAAAUAUUCUGUUACUGUCAAGAAGGUGUGGAGAUGUUGGUUUGAAGCUUUUGAGGGAGCUAGCUGUAUAUGAAGGCAGGCCAUUAGGCUGACCACCUCUCUGUAUCCUAAGAUUGAAAUCAAAAUCUUUCUGUGUAAUGUUUUGUGUACUUAGCUUUAAAAAGUUUACAAGUUUUUAGAGGUUGUGAGAUAUGGAUUAUUUUUGUUUAAAUGAGCUAGGUCAAUAAAGCAUUUACUAAAUUGAAAUGCUUUCUUCGUUCUUAGUUUUCAAAGGAUAGUAAAUGGAAAAAACCCAAAAACCAGUAAAACCCACGAGAAAAAUCAUUAAAAGGUUUAUUUUAAGAAAUACAGCAACAAACACUCUGUAGCUGUCAGUUACUUAGGUUUCCUAUCUCAGAACUGUAUCCCGAGGCCCCAGUGGACCACCCUGCAGCAGUGGAAGGCGCCCAGGCUUUGCUCUGCUUCUUCACCUGUUGUGUUGGCAAGGAUGCUGCAACAGUUGUUUUUGAUCCUAAAAGACUUAGUCCUGGAACUGAAAAAGAAGAAUAUCCUAAUCUUAGGGAGCUGGACCACUUGCUAGGAAGUUCAGGGGAGAUUGUGAAUUGCUCCAGAGUGGAUCACACAGAGCCUCUUCGAACCGGAAGAUUGAGUGGAAUACAUCCUCUACAACUGCUCUGGAUUUAAACUUAAAUGAAAAAACAUUGCUGGAAUUAAUUUAUUCAGGACUUAUUUCCGGGAUGUUCUGUACAUUGUAUAUUUUUUUAAAUGAAAGAUAUUCUUAGUAAUUGUGUUUUUUAAAGCCACACAUAGUUCUAGAUCAUAAACGGUUGUCAUAUCGUUUGUGCUUCGAUAAGUAUUAGGUCUCUGGCUGUUGUGUGUUGGUACCUCAUGAAAGAUAGGCAGACAGGGAAGGAAGGCUGAGAGGCAUGGCUGUGUAACUGCCAGUCAUAGCUAAUGCUGGGAGGGCUGCAUGUGACCCCGUCUGCCCGUCCUUCCGUCUGUCUGCUUAGGCCAGUGACAGGCAGGCUUGCUGCUGGAGAGAGAGGCUGUUCACUUUGGGCAAAGCUGAAUUGUGAAUCCUUCCUAGGUCUCUCUUCUCUAAUUAGAAAGUAAAGUAGCUGGGCUGCUGGGGCUUUACAGCUUUUAGACCUCUCUGUAGCCAGAGGGCACCCACGGUAGGUAUAGGCUAAAAACAAGCCUUUGCAGCUUUGGGGCAUCCAUAGAGAUUUUUGUUCCUGGCUUCAUGCUGAUUGAAAAAAUGUUUUGAUUUUGAGAAAACAAGGAAAGCAAAGAUGGGGCUUGGGAUACAGAUAGAAUUGAAGACUUUAUUUCUCAUUUUAUCAAUUGCAUUUUUUCUUUAAGUUGUUCUCUUGCAGACUGCUAUUAGGAUAGAAGCUAUGAGUUCAGAACGCUCUCCCUGUACUCAUGUGGGGACCACAGAUGACUAGGUUGUGGGCUUAGCAAGUGGUUUGUAUCGGGAGUUGGCUCUUUCCUAGGACAGUAGCUACUUGAAUUACUUAGAACAGAGUGGUCAGGGUUGGAUUCCCACCUUCUGUACAGCGUUCCUGGUGCCAAGAUGACUGGGGCAUUGAGGAGCUUCUCAGCACUAGGCCAGGUGUAUGGCCAGGCUGCUGAGUGGGAGAUGGCGGCACCUUACUGCCUGGCCUGUGCAUUGUUACCUAAGCACUGCUCUUUGUAUGCUGUCUAGACAGUUGAACCUCUCUCAAGUGGAGGUGACCAGGUGACCUUGCCUUAACUGUGCUGAUGACACUAAUAGUGUUAGGAGGGAGAGGCCAGCCCUCACUGCUCCCAACUUAAAAAU